rnacentral:lncRNA from 1 species
ACCAUCCAGACAGAUGCAUGUAGUUUCUGAAGAACUGAGAGGCUUUUCUAGAAGCCUAAGCAGACAUUUCCUUGAGCUUCAUCAGCUGUAUUGAACAUGACCAUCCCUAAACAAAUAACUGGUAUCUAGGAAAUGAAGUUGGAGCUGAGGGUAGCUGUCCCCAAAGAAAAUCAAGAUAAGGAAUGAAUCUGGGGCAGUGGAAACAAUGUCUAUCAAAUCUUCCUACCCUGUGUACAUUUACCCUGUUUUCCACAAUUCCCUGCUCUACCUGAGAAACCCUUGCUCAUCUAAACUGAUAAUAUUUCAGUGGAAGGAGAGCAAGUAGUGUCAGGAUGGCUGAACCAUUAGAUGAAUGGUUGAAGCUGAAGAGAUGGGGUCUCGCCAUGUUGCCCAGACUGGUCUCCAAUUCCUUGGCUCAAGCGAUCCUCCUGCCUCAGUCUCCCAAAGUGCUGGGAUUACAGGUGGGAGCCAUGGCACCCAGCUGAGUAUCUGAUCACCCUGGUAGUAUGUACAAGAGCAUGUGAUAUGGGCUUAAUGUGCAGCCUCCAACUUAGAAUCUGGAGGGAAUGUGUGAAGGAACCAAAUUCAGAGUUAUAUGAAGUGGCUACAGCUGUCAAAGUUGCAGCAGUCUAUCAGUGAGUGACCACAAGUGGUGGAGAACAAUAAAGUGACAUCAAGAGUCCAGUGACAUGACACAAGUAGUAGCUUUCUAAGCAGUUUAUCUCUGUGGCAUGAUCUUGACUCUAUUAUGCCUCAUUUAGUUUCUGCCUCUUUUCUAAGCUUGGUUCUCAAGCUGCUUAGUCAAUUUUGUGAGUUCACUGAUAGUCUCACAAUAAAUCGCCUUACUGUUUA